rnacentral:ncRNA from 14 species
GCCGAUGAUGAGUUCUAGCCUUACGGACACGUGAAGACAGUGGCCAGGCCUGAGG